UUUUUUUUUUUUUUUUUAAAAGUUCCAUAUAAAAAGGUGUUCCGACAAAUUUGUUAUCUCACAAAGGGAAGAAAAUAGGAAAAAAUUGUUAUGCAAACAUCAAGCUUAUAGUGGAUUUUCAUUCAACUUGUGGUACAAUCUCUCUGUUUUCCAUAAGCUUUUGUAACUGUGUUGUGGAUUUCCAUAUGCCUUUUUAAUUCCUUCGGUUGUCUGGUAGCCUUUCACUCCAUCCCCAUCCCUAAAUUGUCAAACCCUCAAUGGAGUUUCUGGUGAAAGGUGAAAUUUUUAGUUGAUUAGGUUUAACACUACACUUGUUGUUGAUAUGCAUUAUGCACUGUUGAAAUUGGCGUCCCUAUGUUGUUAAUGCAACUCUUUUGUAGCAAAUCUAAAGUCAUGGUCUCGUGCUGCAAGAUAACAAGUAAAAUGUACAAAUUUCGAAAUUAUUAGUGCAUCUUCAAGCUAAUGAUUUUAUUCAUGCUGCUUCUUUGCUUUCUUUGUUGGCAAUAUGGCAGCUAUUUUAGUGUGUUUAACGUGUCGUACAUGGUGUUGAUGCUCUUCUUUGCGAGUAGUGGGAAAUGCUUGAUGAAACCAAAGGACUUUUAUGGGAUGAAUGAAAUAACUAAGAGGCUGGAAACACAAGUCUUUUUCUUUAUGCAUAUAGUAAGCUGAGCUGCGUGCAAUGGAUGGAUUGGUUCAACAUUUUAUGGAAACCAAUGUUAGGCAGAGGCAUUGGCUAUGGUUUUAUGACUUGUACUCUACUUGCCUAAUUAAUAAAGGAAGUUGAUUUGUG
rnacentral:misc_RNA from 1 species